ACUACAGUACAAGUUUAAACAUAUUAUGCCUUUUGUAAGGCUUUUUGUAAAUCGCCAUAGAAGGUGGCUAAAGUGCUUGCCAUGGCUGUGUUGACUGCAGACUGAGGAAUCAUCCCACGCAGAUCUGUCUGAAUAUAGCCUGUCAAGAGACUCUGGUGGGGGUUGUCUUUAAGCGGAACACAAAACCAACCGCAGGGAUGGUUAUACCCACGAAUAAAUUCUGGUCUCUCUUCACUCCAGUCAAGACUUACCCCUACAAGGAAAUUUUAAAAUAACACUUAGCAGUGACCGAGAUUAAUCUGAACUCUCAUUAAAAAUUAUUAUCAGAUUUCUUGUUUAAAUAUUUUUCUUCUUAUCCAUGUAGAUGAAAAAUGAAGCCCCAAGAGUGACCAUGGAAGAAUGAGAAAGAUAAUUACCAACUAGAAUCCUGACAGGGGGCUGGUCACAUAUACUAUGGCAGAGCUACCUUGAGUUAAUCCCUAUGUCCCUUUCUGACCAUUUCCCAAGAAAUUUUGACCAUCAGACAAGCUACAGUGCUUCACGUGAAGAGCCCACGGUUCCAGGGCUACUUCUGUCAACACUCAGCCAGUCAGCGUGAGCAAGUCACACUAAGACAAAGAUUAGCAUCAGCAAAUACCACAGUUUGACGCAGUAGACCGAGGAGUCUCAAAUCUGGCUUCAAAACAGCGGCACCUGGGGAGCUGUCAAAGGUCCACAGACGGUCAGGGGAACACGGACAUGUGCCUGCACAGUGAGGCCCAGCGGAGGGAAGUGCCGUCUCAAACACCACAGUGAGAGUGAGCGCGUGGAGUGCGUGAAGGAACGGUCUCCCCACACACGUGGAGAAGAGAAUUGCCAAUUCGAGUUGGAUCCAAAAUCCUGCACAGUUUCGCCUGUUUGGUCACUGGCUGAGAGAACGCAUGGUCAUGGACUGAUGACAACAAGAUUUUUUGCAGAAUGGGGUUGAUUUUCCAAAGUGCAGUGAUGCAGUUCUCCUCCGCACCCCUACCAUACCCUCCUUGGAAUGGACUCAUGAGAAGGAAACUAUCUGCUAAUUCUGCACAGCACAUGUGGAAGAGACUCGGGCACUUAAGGAAACAGCACUGAGCCAGGGCUCUCCCUCAAGAGCAAGGCGGACGUGGAAGAGGAAAUGGGGAAGCCAGAGGUCAUGCGGACACUCAAGUAGCCUUGUGUAGAGGCCCGUGAGUGGAGGAACUGAGUUCUCCAGCCCUGGUCAAGCCUUCGGAUGACUGCAGCUUGGUAACAUCUUAACAGCAAGUUGAUGAGAUCCUGCGCCAGAAGCACCGGCUGAAUUGCGCCCCACUAGAACAGAAUCUGUGAGAAUAACCAACCGCAGUGUGACUGGUGUUCCUUGAAGCACCCACGAGGAGAAGCGCUCCGGCAUAACCUCCCAGCAAGAGGACAGGCCAAAGCCGCCCACUGCCCAAGGGGUGACAGCAAGUAAAGGUCUGACUUUACCACAAAUACUCUGUAUGCCUCAAUCAGAUACGGAAAUAGUAAUCUGACAACAGUCUUUUUCAGCCAAACCAUUAAUUGCUGGAGUUUUCUCAGGUACAUUAUCUGAUAUGGUUUUAAGAGAAUCUUUUUUCUUUUUGCUCUGGUGAUAUAUUCCAAUAGGACAUCUAUAACAACUAUUUUGACUGGAUAUGAGUAAUAAUCUUGCAUUGAGAUCUGUGAUUUAUCGCACUUGCUUUUCGUUUUAAGAAGAAUUCAAAAGUCAGGAACUUUAAAACAACUUGAUAUCAAAUAAAUGUUUUCAGCAGCCCCAGGAUGAACUACAUGUAACAGGUAAUUUAGCUUUGAUAAGUCAUAUUUACCGUAUACAUUUUUCAGGUUAAACAUCUGGUAUGCCUAAAUUUGGGUUUAAACAUUCCAGACUCUGAAAGCAUACUACAUGUCAGGAUGUACAGAAAAUCCACUCGGUAUGUACUUGAGUGUUCCAGUCUUAGGUUGUGAUUUAGAAGUUAUUUUGGUAUAACUAAAGAGCAACAGGACCAAAUCAGAAAAUUGAAAUAAAAUGUAAUUAUCACUCAAACAUAAUUAAGGAUCUAGAUAAAUUUCCAAAAUCAUUAUAUUGGGCAGUCUUUUUCAGUUGUGAAAAUAAUUUUAAUCAUUGAGUUUUAGCAUAUAAUCCCAAUAUUUAAGAAAAGAAAUCCACUGUAAUCCUGGUGCUUUUACAAUGUGUUUGUGUUCCUCUAUCAUCCAGUCAGCAGAGUUCAAGAUAUGGAAAACUUAGGUUUUGGACAAAUGAAGAAUUCAAUGGCUGUGAAUUCUCCCAGGUUAGGAAGGGAAAUCAAAAGUUCUAAGUGUUAUUUCAUCCAACUGCACUCUGUAUGGGGUUGGCCUUAAAGUUGCUUACUUCAGUUCAUACGUAACUCUGUUCAGUUAGUAACAGUGAAUGAAUAGAACAUUACUCUGUCUCUACAUAAGUCUCUCUCUUACUAACCUUUUACCUCCAUGGAAAAUACACAGGAAAACCAAAUGAAGAGUUGGGUAGGAUUCUGGAUAAUUUGGGGAGAGGUAUUUCCAGGCCAAAAAAUAUGAAGGUGAUUAUUUCAGAUUUGAAUGUACCUUUUUUACUAUGUUUUUCUCUUCUAAGCCCCCCAAACACUUAGGUCUUCAUGUUCUCAGUGCUUACUGUGACUUGAGUACUCAGAUUUUAAGGCCACCAAGAUUAAAACAGAGACAAAACCCGCCCCUGUCCACCGUGCCCUAUGGGAGACAGCCCAGGAGCUGGACAGUGCGAGGCAAUGGCGCCCAGCCAUGUAGCAGGUGUGCUCGCGAGCUCCCUGAGGGACCACAACCCAACAGACCUCGGAGCGGAGCUCGUGGGGAGAACAAGUUUGGCACCUUCUCCCUUUGGAGGCCAGAAUUUCCUAGAUUUCAGUCCUUAAUUCCCAUCCCUCAUUUCAAGCCUGCACCCACUGAAGCAGCUGUAGGCUUCUGCAACAGGGGGAGGACUACAAUGGAGUCUUACUUCUCCAGAAGCAGGCCUUGUAAGAAUUCAGGCAAAACUAAUCCUAUCUUCCUCCAUUAUCCCGCAUAUAAUGGCCCCCCAGGACUGAGGAUCUUCAGCUAUCUAGAAGGCUGGAGAAGCAGGAACAGAUGUGAGCAGUGACUCCCUCACCUGGUUCUCCUGGAUGCUCCUAUGGCUCACCUACCUCAGGAGGAAAUGACACGGACACACACAGAGGAAAGGCCACGUGAGGACACAGGGAGAAGAUGACUAUCCACAAGCCCAGGAAACAGCCUCAGAAGAAACCAGCCCUGCCGACAGGUGGACCUCAGACUUCCAGACUCCAGAAUUGUGGGAAAACAAAGUUCUGUUGUUUAAGCCACCUAAUCAGUGGUACUUUGUCUUGGCAGCCCUAGCAAAUUAAUAGUGUGCCUUAAGUGCAAUUAAAAAAAAAUGUAUAGGUGAUGUCAAAUGCAACAGAUGUCAGAACAUGUCUCAACAGACUAAAGAAACAAAACCAACAGUCAGCAAACCAUCCAGUUUUGCUGUCAACAGAGGAACCAGGGAUGGCGGUGAGCAGAUGUGGGAGGGCGUCCAAUGGUUACCAGCUGCAAGCCAAGGAAGACCGUGGGUUCAGUGGGAGGGUGUAAGGAGUUCUGUGUGGGGAAGCACCCAGAGCAUGGCUUGCUACAGCUCUCUGUGGCCAUGAUAGCAGUAGCACAAAUGCAACCCCACAGGCUGCUGUACCCAGUCUUUUACCUGGUUCUGAAUAUCAGGUCCUGGGAGUAUACGGGUCAAAAAACAGGGGUAAGUUGAUCUGUCUCCCCGAAGUCCAUCUGUUCUUGCUAGACCCUAAACCUGUUCAUUCUUUUUGGUCCUGGUCAACUGAGGCUCCAAAAGUGGACACAUGGCUUCAACUCAUUCCAUUCACUCAGUUUUCUGAAUUCAAGUUUGUGUUUUUCAUGAAGGCCAAAUAAACUUUUUUUUUCUUUUUUAAACUUCA